CACAGUAGUAAACAGACACACCAGGUCACGGUUGUCUGUCCUGUGGGGUCUCGGUGAGCAUCUGCUCCCGGACAUCCGAAGGGCUGGUCCCAUCUGGCAGUGAAUCUGUUCUUUCCUCAUCUGCUGUUCUGGGUGCUGGCUGCCCCAGCCCCACCUCCUCCCCGAGCGUCAGCACCAGCUGAGGUCACCCGCUGCUUGGCGGCAGCCCUGCCUAUCCGGGUUCCCCUAUCGGAGAUGACUCAGCGGUGGGUCCGCCCUAGCCCAGCCUGUGGAAAGGCCACUCCUGGGCCUCCUGGCACCGGACAGACAAGAUAUCCCCACUUGUAUGUGAUGUGUCUGCAAAGAACAUGGACUCAGGGUUAGGGUGACACCCCUGACCGCAAGUGUGGAGGCCCAAGACCAAAUUUCUUGUUCCAGUUCCCUAACAAGGAGAAAGCGAGUA